GUAUUGAGGUCACUUUUGUUUUCCUUUAACCAAAUUAAACACUGAACUCUCUCUCUCUCUCUCUACUAAAUUCAUCACCCACUUCACUCUAUCUCUCUCUACUAAUUUCUACUUCACUUUGCACCCUAAUUAUCAUUGCUCUACUGAAUCUCGUAGCCGUUGUACUCAAUUCCAGCUCGAAGCAUUCUCAACUCUCAAACGCCUCAAUUCGUUGCUCGUCGAAAGCUCGAAGCAUUCUCAACUCUCAAACGCCUCAAUUCGUUGCUCGUCAAAAGGUGUCGAAAAUGAAGAAAGGGAAGGAGACGGUGAAGACGUUGAUCUUACUUGAGAAGAUCUUUUAUGAAGCUUUCUACAUGUUCUAAGAAUCUUUUUGCUAUCGAACAUUUUGAAACUUAUCCUAAAUCUUGAAAUGUAAAACUUAAUUAUGCAUUUUGGGUUGAACAUUUUGGUUUUACGGGUAUAUAUGUUGGAUUAGGAAUGUUGGAUAUUUUGGAUUAUGAAAAAUUGUGUUUUCUGAUUUA